rnacentral:rRNA from 1 species
ACGGCAGCGGGAGGGAGCUUGCUCCUUUGCCGGCGAGUGGCGCACGGGUGCGUAACGCGUAUACAACCUACCUUAUACAGGGGUAUAGCCCAGGGAAACUUGGAUUAACACCCCAUAGUAAUAUGUUUUGGCAUCAUUACAUAUUUAAAACUACGGUGGUAUAAGAUGGGUAUGCGUCCCAUUAGCUUGUUGGUGUGGUAACGGCACACCAAGGCAACGAUGGGUAGGGGCCCUGAGAGGGGGAUCCCCCACACUGGUACUGAGACACGGACCAGACUACUACGGGAGGCAGCAGUGAGGAAUAUUGGACAAUGGGCGGGAGCCUGAUCCAGCCAUGCCGCGUGCAGGAAGACUGCCCUAUGGGUUGUAAACUGCUUUUAUACGGGAAGAAACCCACCUACGUGUAGGUGGCUGACGGUACCGUAAGAAUAAGGACCGGCUAACUCCGUGCCAGCAGCCGCGGUAAUACGGAGGGUCCGAGCGUUAUCC